GAGUCACCUGAGCUGAAGCCGAUAAAGCCGGUUGCACCCUGGCAUAUGAUCGGUGUUGACCUCAUCGGACCCCUGCAGAAGUCAAGCAAAGGUGGGAACCGUUACCUCCUGACAGCGACCGACUUCUUCACAAAAUGGGUGGAGGCAAGACCCAUUAAGAAGAAGCAGGCACUGCUUACCUCUGAGGCAAUGAUGGACAUCUUCCUGAC